rnacentral:rRNA from 1 species
GCAUACGGCCACACCACCCUGAAAGUGCCUGAUCUCAGAAGCGAUACAGGGUUGGGCCUGGUUAGUACCUGGAUGGGAGACUGCCUGGGAAUACCAGGUGUCGUAGGCU